rnacentral:rRNA from 1 species
GCUUGUCUCAAAGAUUAAGCCAUGCAUGUGUAAGUAUCAGAAGUCUGAACUUCAAAACUGCGAAUGGCUCAUUAUAUCAGUUAUAGUUUAUUUGAUAGUACCUUACUACUUGGAUAACCGUAGUAAUUCUAGAGCUAAUACAUGCAUAAAACCCUAACUUCUGGAAAGGGUGUAUUUAUUAGAUGGAAACCAAUGCGGGGUAACCCGGAAUAUGGUGAUUCAUAAUAACUUUCGGAUCGAUUUAUCGAUGCAUCAUUCAAGUUUCUGCCCUAUCAGCUUUGGAUGGUAGGGUAUUGGCCUACCAUGGCUUUAACGGGUAACGGAGAAUUAGGGUUCGAUUCCGGAGAGGGAGCCUGAGAAACGGCUACCACAUCCAAGGAAGGCAGCAGG